CCUGGUAUUUCUUAUUUUUAUCUACACUAAGCUACAAUCACAAAUAAAAAGCAGUCCUAAGACAGCCAUGUCAGUGUGAUUUCUAAACAGUUUAGAAUUAUCACGAGUUAUCAGAAUUAUCUGUUUAGAAAUAUCACGAGAUUUUUAAGUAACUGUUCAUGAAGGGGGAAGACUCCCCCUUGCUGAUAUACAAGCCCUCCCCAGCAAAGACCAUAAUAAUAUCUGUUCUUUUCUUGUUUUGAGAAAAACCUUCAUUAUAAAGCUGGAAUUAAGGCCACGUGACGUCACAAACAACUUUGGGAAGGUGAAAUAAUUAUUUAUUGAAGGUAAUAGCUUCCUAUUAUGAUUACCAUAACAAUUAGCGUAAUUCUCUAUAAAGCUCUGAGUAAUAUCUAAUUUACUGGAGAAAAACAGCAAAUAAAUAACAUUGUCUGCUCUAGAAAACAUAUUAGUACCAAAUGUGAUUUACUAUAUAGACAGCAGGAGAGCUUCAUUGUCCUUAGCACUCCUCUCUUGCUUUUGAAUGUUUGGCUUAGUCAAAGUUAUGAGUCAAUUAGGCUGUUGUCACUUAGCAACCACAACUGGGUUCAGGAGCAAAGCACUUGGGAGCAGACUGCACUUGACUACUAAACAUUGCCACUCCAGCACAUCCAGCACCACGCUUUCUUACUCACAAAAAAUGGGGAGGAAGGGAGCACAGAGAAAAGUGGCUUCUAAAAGUAUUCACAUCCCCUUUUUCAAGCUACCAUAGGAGCAUUAUCUUCCCCUGAUUUCCCAUCAUCCCAUCAGCCAUACAGAAUGCUUUUUGAAGGAGUGUUUGAGACAUUAAGGACAGAGGUAAGCCUCUUUGUUUGAUAUUAUUGGAUCUCAAUCCCACCAGUGUUUCACCUGUCUUGUACCUUCACCUAAUACUCUGGAAAAUAAUAAGCAUGCAAGAGUGCCACCAACUGCAACAUGGGGCUGCCUUUAUACUAAUCAAAUCACAAAGGUGCUUGCUUCUGCUGUGAAAGUUGGCUGGAAGCUUUGUCAGCAAGCGCAGUGGUGGAAUAUUCGUGAGACUAAAUCCCAUCUCACUCUGAUUAUUCCAACAAACUUUUUUUUUUGCCAGUCAGAAUUUGAGCUUAAACAUAUGGAGAAUCCUGCAGAUACUACCACUUAUCAGUGACUGAUGCUGGAAUACCUUAAGAUAUGUAUUCAGGAUGUCCCUGGAUCAAUAGCAAGUUUUGAAUAAAAAUAUUAUUACAGUAAUUUCACAUUUCCUGUAAAUCAUGAGACUUAAGUACUUCCAAAGUUGGAGACACUGCAAACACUGGUGAUGAAAAAAAAAUUAUUCCUUCAUAGAAAAAGUACUUCAAACAACUCCUUUUUCCCUCACCCCGAAGUAUCCUAAGGAGAUUUUUAAAACCUACAUGAUCCUCUGCCCGCUCUUGUAGCAGGUAGGAAGGCCUGGAGAAAGCAGUGGAACCACAUAGCAUCCAGCACAAGAUUGUAGACAUUCUGGUCCAGAUCUUGAUGCAUCCCUACAAUGCAAAUAAAUAAGUGCUAAGAGUUAUUUGCAAAAAUAAAAUGCAGAUGACAGAAAACCAAUCAGUUUAGAAAGAUCACAAUGCAUCAGUUGAGAUUCAAGGCCUAAUUCUGAUGCUGUUUAGAGCCAUUUAAAGCAGGGACUCUGAAGGAACAAAGGCUGGUUCCUUCCACACACUGGUGCAUAGGAAGGCAGCCCUGGGUGCCUUCUGCUUACAGCUGUGACCUGACAAAAGCUGUCUGGAAUCUCAGAUGCACAACAGAAGGCUCAAGGCCACCAUCCAAGAGUGUGUCAAGUGAGUGAUUUCCUAGGAGUUUAAACAUAGGCUUGAAAAAUGUCAGAUGUAUUACAGGAACUCCCAGUGCAAGCUGAAGCCCAGUGCAGUUGGUCUCAGAGCAGUGACUGGUGAGCAUAAUUUUGCUCAGAUACUCUAGCAUCCAGUUAAACUACUCCACAGUUUUCAGAUGUAGCUGAAAAUACCAGUAGCUGACUAUUUGUCAUUAUAUUUUGCCUCUGAAAGUCACUGUGGAAAACAAAGGUAAUUAAUUUGGCUGCUGCAUGCAAUGCUUGCAGGGUAGCCCCUAAGUAUUUUGUUCAGCCCCAGUACAUUCAAAGGAAAAGAGUCUCAGUGUAUUCACGGAGGAUCCAAUUUUCUGCUUGUCGUAUCUAGCAGAAAAGCCUUGGCUGGCAGGAGAGUGCUGCUGCUGCCCAGGGAAGAGCAGUUCUCUCUUGCUGCACCAUCUCACCUCAUCUAUCGCUCCAGUGACCUGCUCAGUGAUCAUUCCUUGGAGAUCCAGCUCUACAAACAGCAUCUGCCAGAGAUGCAGAUACGCAGUAAAAUGGAGUCAACAGGUAUGAAGUAGAACCUGCUGCUACAGUGCUCUGGCAGCUUAAGAGCUGUUGCCUCCCCUGCACAACUCAGAGCAACAAGAAGCAGCAAAAAGCCAGAUUACUUUCCUCACAAUGGCGGUAUCACAAAAGUCUGUAUGUAUCUGAAUCCCUCACAGCACCAUCCCUAAAGCCUUUGCCCAGCCAAAUUCCAGGCUGCAUACCAGCUGUAUACAUUUGUGUGUGUGUUUUUCUUCUCUGCUACCCAUCCACAGCUGUCAUACCAAGCUGCCCCAUGCUGCUGCAGAUCCUUUUCCGUGGCCUGUGCACUCCAAUUAGUCAUGAAGCUUAGUGUCUUCUUACAGAGCAAAGAAUUUUGAAGACAUGGGCACAGGAUCAAUGUAAACAGCAGAAGAAUAAGAAAUGCUUAGAGUCCUGUUUGAUAGCACUCCUAAGCUUUAGAAUAUGAAGUUCAGAGCUCCUGUGAACAGCAGUCACUGCAGUAGCAGUGAGGUAAGAAAUGAUCGUUUCAAUACAAACAAGGAAUAUUUUAUAAAACUGCUAACACUAAGAGCUAACAGCUACUUAGGACAUUCAAUAUUUCUAUGUCUAAAUUUCUUGUGUUUUGAAAAUGAAAUCAGUGUAACAUCCAACAACAUUCUUGGUAAUUAGAAACAUUAAGCAUGUUCUAUAAAGCAAUGUGAUUACAUUUAAAUUGCUUCUAAUAACAUAAAUUGCACCACGAAACAACUAUAUUUCCAUGUGCUAAAAUAAGGAAACAAUGUUUGUAGUAGGCGUGGCGAGCACGUAGCAAUAAACUCCAUUUUGCCUCGCUUACUUCUGGGGUCUGUGCGAGCAUUUGGCCCCGACCUGGUCAGGGUCGGUUUCGCUGAGUUGCAGCGUCCUUCUCCGCGACGCGGAGAAGAGCCUGCGGGGUGGCGGCAGGUCGCGUGCGUAACCAUGGACCAAGUCAUUAAGGUGUAGCUGCGGCGCAGGCCUUGAAGGAGAUUGAGCGCUUAGCAUGUUGGUCGGUUAGGCAAGCGAAUUUAACAUUAAUAUUGAAUGCGAUGUUGGAGGACACGAACAGCGUCCGGCACGCGGUGUUGCAAAAUCGAGCGGCCAUCAAUUUCUUACUCCUAGCACAAGGACACGGGUGUGAAGACGUAGAGGGGAUGUGUUGCUUCAAUCUUAGCGAUCAUAGUGUGUCCAUUCACAAAGCGCUUCAAGCUAUGAAGGAACAUACGGAGAAGAUUCAGAUGAACGACGAUCCCAUAGGGGAUUGGUUUAAACGCACAUUCGGCAAUAUCGGAGAGUGGCUCGCGCAGGGUGUCAAGACGCUAGCGUUCGCAUUGCUUGUCAUUAUCUUUAUAGCAGCUAUCAUUCCAUGUAUAAUCAGGUGCUUCCAGGAUUGUCUUGUCGAGGACAAUGUAUCAGUUUAUGGAUGAACGCAUAAAAUAUCAUAGGAUUAGGGAUCAGCUGUAAGCUCCGCGUGUGAGGUGAUGGGAGAUGUCGGCAUAGGGAGGGGGAGAUGUAGUAGGCGUGGCAAGGAAAACGGGAUGUGACGCGUACAGGCUCCCUAUGCCAUAUGUGAAUGCCAAGUAUCGCUUUAUGAUUGGCGGAGGUAUCUGUACUUAAACACGCAGCACGUAGCAAUAAACGUCAUUUUGCCUCGCUUGCUUCUGGGGUCCGUGUGAGCAUUUGGCCCCGACCUGGUCAGGGUCAGUUUCGCUGAGUUGCAGUGUCCUUAGCAGACAGAGGACGAACACCAUCAAGAGAUACCAGAGAGCGGCAACAAAUGUUUAAAGCAAAAAUAUUGUUACAAUAGGAGAUAUAUUUUAGAUAGCAUAAACUUAAACUCCUAACUAGCACAAAAAUUAUUCUCUGUCCUGGAAUAUUUUAUGCUUCCUCAUGCUAUUCCAGAGAAGAUAUGUAUGCAGAUACACAGAAUGUAAUGUUCUAUGACUUUUUUGUUUGUUUGUUUUAACUGGCUCAUAGCUAGCAAUUACUUGGUGAGCAAAAGCGUUAUUCCACACAUCUCGUGAUUAACGCUACAAAGUGACUGCUCAGUACCACCACUUUUGUUGUUUUGUUUUUAAGAUACUGUAAUCUUCUGAGUAAAUUAGAAAAUUACUUUACUGAAAUGCUACUACUACCAAGAACUCUUCAGUUCCUCAUCUCAUUUACUGUUGCCAAGCUGAUAAAUAUGAAUCAGUACCAGCAGACAACCUCCAAGGAACAUUAUUUUCCUCGAGUGGAGCAAGCUCUACAGCUAUGAUGUACUGGAGGGACCUUCAAAACAACUGCCACCCAUCAGCCGUGAAGUGAAGAGUCAGGUCCAAGACUUGAAACUCCAAAACCCAUCAGAACUUGAGGGAAAACACUUGCAUGUCACUCACAGGCUGUCUCUCCCAGUAGCUUUGUAGAGAUUCUGAGUUUGCUGCAUCCCUCAUAAAUUUAUUUACCUUACUGGAAAUACUUGGCUUUUCAUUCACUAUGAAACAAUGAGAUCUGACCUCAUGCAACAUUAAAGUUACUGCACCUUAUCUCUCAGCAUCAGUAAAACAAGGCAUUUAUAUCUUCUCAAAAACCGCAAAGAAAAAUGCUUCACCUGCAAUACUGUCUCCACUGUGGGUUUGGGGAUGACUGAUUUUUUUUUUUUUAAAGAAUGGAAAUGUACAGAAAAAAGGACAUUGAAACAAAAAACAACAAGUUCCUCUACCUGUUUUAAAAACUGAGUAUGUGAGUUCUGAUUUUCUUUCUCUCCCCUCACUUCUCAACUAAAAUACUUUCUAGUAAGAACAGCAACAGACCAAAGGAAGCAACUGAUCUAUAAAGCCCAGGAGGAGUGAAAAUUUGAAUUCUAUAACUUUGCAAACAAGUUGCUCUGAGUCAGUUUACCCACAUCCAAAUCUAUGCUCUUGUCUAUUCUCAUUUCCCACAGGUAGUUACGGCAGUAGCAAUUUGAAGUAUUUUGUAAAUAACUGACUGGUAUUCAGCCUGUUGCUUUAUUUCCUCUCCUAUAAUUGAGUUGUGGUGGUUUGACAUUUUGAUUCAGUGUUGUAGAAAGAGCAGACACAAUUUACUGAAAUUUCUGUGGUUGAUGCAUUUAGGGAAAAAAUAAUGAUUCCAUUUUGCAAUGCAUUCAUUAAGGGAAAAGUACUUACAUUUGUUUGCAGAAUCAAGUAGUCAUCAGGAACAAGAAGAAUGUGGAACUUUCCUCCUUGGGCUGAGCAACAACUUUGGGCAGGAUGGUUCUGACCUAUGGUCUGAUUUCCACAGUUAUUUGAAAACUACUUGCAAAGCCAUUUUGGUACUCUUUGGUCUUCACCUGUAUAUAUGAAGGGUAUCUGCUACACACGGCAUGAUAGGAGAGGGGGAAUGUAGAGACAUAAUGGCAAAGGGCCAAGUCAUUGUAAGGUGUCAUCUCUGGAAUCCAGAUCAUGUAAAACAUGAGAACUGACAACAUAAAUCUUCCUGCUCUCCCCUGCCCCUUCACCUCUAUUCCUGGGGGCAAGUAGACUUCUGCACACCCUUUUAGAACUGACAGAUUCUACCUUAAUCAGAGCUGAGGAUGCCAAUUCCUGGCAUUGAAUCCAUUUGCACCAGAUUUAGCCUGAGUAGGGCCUGCUCAGGCUGAGUGGGUUGGAAAAGAGGAAUUGAAAGAAAACAACUGAGACAUUCUCAUUGCUGUGGAGUAAUGAAGGAACUUCCCCAUCCCCAAGCCAGGGACAUGAUUUAGUGGAGGGUUGUUAAAAGCUGGGGCAGUUUGGUUAGGUUGUGGUUGGACUAGAUGAUCUUUAAAGCCUUUUCCAACCCGAGCAAUGCUAAGCCCUUUGAGGUCACUUUCUGAAAUACAGUAUAUUCCUGGCCCAUUAAUACCUCCAUACUCCUGUGCAGAGGUCCAUCCACAGCCAACAAAUGCCAGAGCCUCCUUUAGCCCAUUUCCUCCACAAAAUCCUCCAGGUGAUGCUGCUUGGACUGGCUCAGUAACAGCUCAGCGGAGUUGAUAGAGUACAACAAUGUUGAAAAUAGUCCCAUGAUCCUUACAUUGACACCAGCUUCUUUUUUAGCAAGGGGGAAAAUGAAGCUGUUGUUUCCUACAAGUUGUGUCUCUUCAGCUAGAGAAUCAUGAAAUAUCAACUGUAAAAAAUGGUAUUUUUAUGCAGCUAUUUGUGCUUACAUUGUUUCCACUAAUAAAUUUCAACUUUGUUUUGUUGUUGCCAUCAAAAUGUACUCUUCUGUAUACAAAAGCAAAGCUCUUCAACAGUUUUUUGUAAAAGAUGCAUAUUGGAAAAAAAGCAUAGGAAUAAAGGAGAAGGCUAUUAGGAAGUGGCAAAACUAUAAGGUAACUAAAAUGUAAAUUUUAGUAUAUUGGAGAGAGAUUUGUGGCCUAGGAGAUGCAUGGAUAGGUUCUUUCUUUACAGAGAUUUUUUUUUUUUUACACAUGCUAUAUAGUCAAGUAUAGACAUAUGAACUUGUUAUCUCUAUCUGUAGACAACACUUUUGUGGUCACUAAGGACUUUCAUGUUUGCAACAUUCAAAAUCUUACUACUUUAUAACUUAAAAAUCACAAGACCUAUAAUUCAAGUUCGUAUGAAAUUUAAACAACUUCAAUCACCUCUUUUGUUUUAAAAGAAUUUGACUUCUGGUUUAAAAUUAAGAAUAUAUUUAUGUGAAUCUCAAGGUUGGAAUCCUCGAAGGAAACCAGACA
rnacentral:lncRNA from 1 species